CGAACGGGGACCAGCCGAGACCGUGAAAAUGACCAGAAUGUGCUGGAAAGCACAGCCAUAGUGGGUGACAGCCCCGUAUGGGAAGUUUGAUCGGACGUAUUAAGUAGGGCGGGACACGUGAAAUCCUGUCUGAAGAUCGGGGGACCACCCUCGAAGGCUAAGUACUCCUUACUGACCGAUAGCGAACCAGUACCGUGAGGGAAAAGGUGAAAAGCACCCCGACGAGGGGAGUGAAACAGUUUCUGAAACCGGACGCCUACAAGCAGUCGGAGCCUCCUUGAGAGGUGACGGCGUACCUUUUGUAUAAUGGGUCAACGACUUGGUCUAUCUAGCAAGCUUAAGCCGGUAGGUGUAGGCGCAGCGAAAAGCGAGUCUUAAAUGGGGCGACUUAGUUAGAUGGAUCAGACCCGAAACCAGAUGAUCUAGGCAUGAGCAGGAUGAAGGUUGGGUAACACCAACUGGAGGUCCGAACCCACACCUGUUGAAAAAGGUCGGGAUGACUUGUGCCUAGGGGUGAAAGGCCAAUCAAAUCUGGAGAU
rnacentral:rRNA from 1 species